GACGAACGCUGGCGGCGUGCUUAACACAUGCAAGUCGAACGGAAAGGCCUGCUUUCCCUUGUGGAUUGCGGGUACUCGAGUGGCGAACGGGUGAGUAACACGUGAGUGAUCUGCCCCCAACUUGGGUAUAAGCCUGGGAAACUGGGUCUAAUUCCCGAUAGGACUGCAGGGUGGUGCCUGUGGUGGAAAACGAUUUUCUAGUGGUUGGGGAUGAGCUCGCGGCCUAUCAGCUUGUUGGUGGGGUAAUGGCCUACCAAGGCGGCGACGGGUAGCCGGCCUGGGAGGGUGAACGGCCACAUUGGGACUGAGAGACGGCCCAGACUCCUACGGGAGGCAGCAGUGGGGAAUAUGGCACAAUGGGCGGAAGCCUGAUGCAGCGACGCCGCGGGGGGGAUGACGGCCUUCGGGUUGUAAACUCCUUUCGACCGCGAGGAAGCCACCUGGUUGGAAGGGUGGUGACGGUAGUGGUAGAAGAAGCACCGGCUAACUACGUG
rnacentral:rRNA from 1 species